rnacentral:rRNA from 1 species
CCUACGGGGGGCAGCAGUGGGGAAUAUUGGUCAAUGGCGGCAACUCUGACCCAGCCACGCCGCGUGAAUGAUGAAGGUCUUCGGAUUGUAAAGUUCUGUGAUGGGGGAUGAACACAAUGACGGUACCCCAAUAGCAAGCCACGGCUAACUACGUGCCAGCAGCCGCGGUAAUACGGAGGUGGCAAGCGUUAUCCGGAAUGACUGGGCGUAAAGGGUUCGUAGGUGGUUUAGUAAGUUGGCGGUGUAAUUCCGUGGGUCAACCUCGGCGCUACCGCCAAAACUAUUAGACUAGAGUGCAGGAGGGGUAAGUGGAAUGCCGAGUGUAGCGGUGGAAUGCGUAGAUAUUAGGAGGAACAUCAGGGGCGAAGGCGACUUACUGGACUGUAACUGACACUGAGGCACGAAAGCGUGGGGAGCAAACAGGAUUAGAUACCCCAGUAGUC